GUGCACUGCUGGUCAUCAGAGCAGCAUUCCUUUAGGCCCUUCUCCCCUGUCCAAGAUUUGGUAGCAAUCCAGAACUUCUCACCCUGCAAAGGAGCAGUCGUUUUGAAUGAUAUAAAGGAAAUGGUUCAAAUCCAUCUGUAUCCUCUCAUUAAAGAGAACAGCCUGGACUGGACACUGAACGCAUUAUACUUUCCAGGGAAACAGAAAUGGCUUGAGAAUUCCUAGUACGAGCUGCUCCAGACCUAAUCUUCGGCAGUGACAAGGCAGAAUGGAAAAGUGAUGAGUGGAUUUUAGAAGACAGGGAUGUGUGGAAAGGCUCUUCUAAAUAAACACAGUUGGUGCGUGUGGUAAUUCUUAGGGCUUUGCUUAUUGUUUCCUGUUCAGCAGGACUUUCCUCUUACAUUUGUGUGUGUGCAUAUAAACAGCUAUGACUCCAUUUGAGGCAAAAGAAUUUUAAAUUUCCCCCCAUCAACAGCUACCCUCCCCUUCCAGGUCUUUUUUUUCUGGCUCCAGUCCAGCAAAUCAGUUAAGCAGAUCCUUAACUUUAAGCACGAGACUCGUCCCAGUGAAGUCCAUGGUUAAGUGUCUUGCUGAUUAGUACCUCAGUCCAGGAAGAGCUUUUUGCGUUUGGUUGUCUUUCCUAACUUGUGGCCAGUUACCUCCUUCCAGAACUUCUUCAUUUUUACUUUUUUCCACUUGUAGGUAAGUGACUUUGAUUAGCUAAGAAUUCCUUGCAAAACACUUGCACAGAAUUCAAAUGCCUGGUCAAAGACUCUGGCCUUAAACUUAAAAAUCUUAGCUAAUAAGCAAGUGUCAAAAGAGAGGUUUGGCAACCCAGAUGGUGCCCUAACACCAACGUAGAAAUGCCCAUUAAUAACAUACCAAAUUACUUACGUUCUAUCGGCAGCUACUUGAGCUUCCCAACCUUUUCC